CAGCAGAGGGCAUCGUGGCCCGGGCCACCAUCCUCCUCCUCCUCCCACCCAUCUCCUCCCCCCUCCUCCUUUUCCCUCCUCCUCUUCCUCCUCCUCCUUUUCCUCCUCUUCCCCCUCCUCCUCCUUUUCCUCCUUCCCCCUUCCUCCUUUUCCUCCUCCUCCUCCACCUCCCCUCCUCCUUCCCCCUCCUCCUUUUCCUCCUCCUCCCCCUUCUCCUCCUCUUCCUCCUCCCCUCCUCUUGGAACGGGAAGGGUUAACGAAUCCGCUCGGUCCCUCAGUCUGUCAGCCUGCGGGGCUUUAAUCUUUAUUAAUAUCUCUGUCGGCCUCUCCUCUCGUCAAACAGACCUGGGGCUGGGGCAGGUUUCUGCGUUUAAGUGAUUGGAUUUCCCUGUGACCGUUAUUUAAAUGGACUGGCUACUGGGAUUCGCUCACCAUCCCCUCUGGUUUUCUUUCUGAUUAAAAAUUGAUGGCGACCAUUUAGUGAAUGUUAAUGGGCUUAAUGCAGCUCUGGGUCCAUUGGGGAGCGGAGAGGAAGGGACCUGCGGGGUCUGGGGCGGAGGGGCACUAAGUCUCAGUUCUCCCUUCGCUUUUGCAAGAGUAGACAUGCCAUCGUGAUGGUUGACUCCCCCAGCAAGUGCGCAGGGAGAAAUAGCCUUAGGAGAGAGGAGAUCUUGCUAGCCAGACUGGCCAAGAAAUGGAAGAGGGGUCAACAAGAGAAAUCAGGAGUGGGAUGGAAGACCGAGGUCAUGUCAAACAAAUACCACCUCCAUGCACAGGAAGCCACUCUGAGCGCCUGGUGGAGGGCCAGGCAACAGAGACUUAAAGCUAAGGGCUUCACGGUUUUGCUUUGGCCUUCCACUUAGGACCUGUGGCAGCCAACUGAGGGAAUUUCCCGCCAGUGUUCUCAUUGUGACCUGUUGACCAGUUGCCUUGACCAUAUGGCGCUUGGUAACUCACCAGGCUACAGGCAACUUGAUUUCGGGAUCCAGUCAUUCCAAGCCUGCUCAGAGCCUUGCCUUCUGCCAGGAGUUGGCAAAUGAAAAUAGUCCUGCCCUCAGGGAGCUUAGGGAGCUACCGUGUUUGAAAUAAUCUCUCAAAGAUGCCUUUCUGAGGAAGCAGGUCCUAUGACUAUUCCAUUCGUUGGGAUCUCAACAAAUUUGACCAAUGGAGGGGAAAACCUUUACUGAUUUAGAAGAAUUCUAACAGAAUACUUUGACACCAGCAAAGUAGAAACCUGGCGUGAAUGAGGACCACUUGAUUCUAAACUAUUAAAGAACAGGUAUCAUGCUGAGUGGAAGUGGGAUUCGAAUCUACAUCUCCUGAUGAUCUGUCCAGAUGGCAACCCAUCCACCCUUCUCAGCCUGUUAGUUCCUGUCCAUGUCCGUAUGCCCAGGAAUCCUCCAUGAGAGGUCUCCCCGAUACUGUGGAGAGUUCGACCAGGUCUUAAAAUUGUGUGGCUACCAGCCCAGGCCUUUGGCUUUCUCCUUCUGUUAGCCUUCACUCAAUUCACUGAGCUUAGGAGAGUGAGAAUAAGCCAUGCUUCUAGUGUGUGCAGACUAGGAAUGCUUUUGUCUGCUUUGGAAUCCAGUGACCAAAAUUCUCUAGAAGAGCAUCCCCUAAAAGGUGACUCGUACUCAAGGAUAAAACUGAAGACACUAAGAGAAACGAUUCCAUCGAGGAGAAAGCGUCUCUCCAUGCCAUCAAACAGGCUGCCUGUCUCCCAUGUCUGGAAUGAUCCCCUUCCUUACCUCCUUUCCAGACCGGCAGGCUUUAACCAAUGAGAUCCCCACCAUCAAACUCCAGCACUUCCUUCAACGGAGAAAUGGUGAUGGUGUGAUGAUGAUGGUGGUGGUGAUGAUAGUGAUGAUGAUGACUCCAUUAAAGUUCUCCUAUUCCUCAUUGUUGUGGAGGUGACCUGGCUUCUUGAAGGGAAUGCCAUUGGAAUGUUGCUCUGCUCCCUGGGACCAACUAAAUCAAGCUCUUUCAUGCAGAGCCCUUCAAGAAUUUGAAGACAGUUUAUGGAUUCCUUCUCUGAGUUUUAUCUUCUCAAGAGAAAACAUGCCCAGGUUCUUCAACUCAGCCUCCAAUACCUGACCCCUCCGCCAUUCUUGUUGUCCUCUCCUGGGAAUUCUCCAGUUUUAUCAACUCCCUGACCUAGAAUGAAUGGAAAUUGCGAUGCCCUGAACUGAACAUUGAGAUCAGAGUAGGACAGAAUGCAGUCAGUCUAGGGCUACUUGACUUCUGGAAGUCAUGGAGUGCAAGGUCUCACUGGCUUUUUAUGACUUUCCAUAUCAUAUUGUAGACUGACUUGGACCUUGUUGCAUACUGAAAUCCCCUGACCUUUUUCAGAAAAAAUUGCUGGGGGCAGCUGGGUGGCUCAGUGGACUGAGAGCCAGGCCUAGAGAAGGGAGGUCCUGGGGUCAAAUCUGGCCUCAGAUACUUCCUGGCUGUGUGACCCUGGGCAAGUCACUUGACCCCCAUUGCCUAGCCCUUCCUGCUCUUCUGCUUUGGAACCAGUACGCAGUAUUGAUUCCAAGAUGGAAGGUAAGGGUUUAAAAAAAACUGCUGACUAACCAUACUGUUCCAUUUUGCACUUAGAAAGCCACAUUUGAUACUUCUGAACCCGUCUCAGAUUUGCACUUGUCCCUAGUGAAUUAAAAAAAAAUCCUUACCUUCCA